UACGUAUGGGGCAAGCGUUAUCCGGAUUUACUGGGUGUAAAGGGAGCGUAGGCGGCCUGGCAAGCCUGAUGUGAAAUACCGGGGCCCAACCCCGGGGCUGCAUUGGGAACUGCCAGGCUGGAGUGCCGGAGAGGCAGGCGGAAUUCCUAGUGUAGCGGUGAAAUGCGUAGAUAUUAGGAGGAACACCAGUGGCGAAGGCGGCCUGCUGGACGGUGACUGACGCUGAGGCUCGGAAGCGUGGGGAGCAAACAGG
rnacentral:rRNA from 1 species